UCGACACACUAUCAUUAACUGAAUCCAUAGGUUAAUGAGGCGAACCGGGGGAACUGAAACAUCUAAGUACCCCGAGGAAAAGAAAUCAACCGAGAUUCCCCCAGUAGCGGCGAGCGAACGGGGAGGAGCCCAGAGCCUGAAUCAGUGUGUGUGUUAGUGGAAGCGUCUGGAAAGGCGCGCGAUACAGGGUGACAGCCCCGUACACAAAAAUGCACAUAUUGUGAGCUCGAUGAGUAGGGCGGGACACGUGGUAUCCUGUCUGAAUAUGGGGGGACCAUCCUCCAAGGCUAAAUACUCCUGACUGACCGAUAGUGAACCAGUACCGUGAGGGAAAGGCGAAAAGAACCCCGGCGAGGGGAGUGAAAAAGAACCUGAAACCGUGUACGUACAAGCAGUGGGAGCCUCUUAAUGGGGUGACUGCGUACCUUUUGUAUAAUGGGUCAGCGACUUAUAUUCUGUAGCAAGGUUAACCGAAUAGGGGAGCCGAAGGGAAACCGAGUCUUAACUGGGCGUUAAGUUGCAGGGUAUAGACCCGAAACCCGGUGAUCUAGCCAUGGGCAGGUUGAAGGUUGGGUAACACUAACUGGAGGACCGAACCGACUAAUGUUGAAAAAUUAGCGGAUGACUUGUGGCUGGGGGUGAAAGGCCAAUCAAACCGGGAGAUAGCUGGUUCUCCCCGAAAGCUAUUUAGGUAGCGCCUCGUGAAUUCAUCUCCGGGGGUAGAGCACUGUUUCGGCAAGGGGGUCAUCCCGACUUACCAACCCGAUGCAAACUGCGAAUACCGGAGAAUGUUAUCACGGGAGACACACGGCGGGUGCUAACGUCCGUCGUGAAGAGGGAAACAACCCAGACCGCCAGCUAAGGUCCCAAAGUCAUGGUUAAGUGGGAAACGAUGUGGGAAGGCCCAGACAGCCAGGAUGUUGGCUUAGAAGCAGCCAUCAUUUAAAGAAAGCGUAAUAGCUCACUGGUCGAGUCGGCCUGCGCGGAAGAUGUAACGGGGCUAAACCAUGCACCGAAGCUGCGGCAGCGACACUAUGUGUUGUUGGGUAGGGGAGCGUUCUGUAAGCCUGUGAAGGUGGCCUGUGAGGGUUGCUGGAGGUAUCAGAAGUGCGAAUGCUGACAUAAGUAACGAUAAAGCGGGUGAAAAGCCCGCUCGCCGGAAGACCAAGGGUUCCUGUCCAACGUUAAUCGGGGCAGGGUGAGUCGACCCCUAAGGCGAGGCCGAAAGGCGUAGUCGAUGGGAAACAGGUUAAUAUUCCUGUACUUGGUGUUACUGCGAAGGGGGGACGGAGAAGGCUAUGUUGGCCGGGCGACGGUUGUCCCGGUUUAAGCGUGUAGGCUGGUUUUCCAGGCAAAUCCGGAAAAUCAAGGCUGAGGCGUGAUGACGAGGCACUACGGUGCUGAAGCGACAAAUGCCCUGCUUCCAGGAAAAGCCUCUAAGCAUCAGGUAACAUCAAAUCGUACCCCAAACCGACACAGGUGGUCAGGUAGAGAAUACCAAGGCGCUUGAGAGAACUCGGGUGAAGGAACUAGGCAAAAUGGUGCCGUAACUUCGGGAGAAGGCACGCUGAUAUGUAGGUGAAGCGACUUGCUCGUGGAGCUGAAAUCAGUCGAAGAUACCAGCUGGCUGCAACUGUUUAUUAAAAACACAGCACUGUGCAAACACGAAAGUGGACGUAUACGGUGUGACGCCUGCCCGGUGCCGGAAGGUUAAUUGAUGGGGUUAGCGGUAACGCGAAGCUCUUGAUCGAAGCCCCGGUAAACGGCGGCCGUAACUAUAACGGUCCUAAGGUAGCGAAAUUCCUUGUCGGGUAAGUUCCGACCUGCACGAAUGGCGUAAUGAUGGCCAGGCUGUCUCCACCCGAGACUCAGUGAAAUUGAACUCGCUGUGAAGAUGCAGUGUACCCGCGGCAAGACGGAAAGACCCCGUGAACCUUUACUAUAGCUUGACACUGAACAUUGAGCCUUGAUGUGUAGGAUAGGUGGGAGGCUUUGAAGUGUGGACGCCAGUCUGCAUGGAGCCGACCUUGAAAUACCACCCUUUAAUGUUUGAUGUUCUAACGUGGGCCCCUUACCGGGGUUGCGGACAGUGUCUGGUGGGUAGUUUGACUGGGGCGGUCUCCUCCUAAAGAGUAACGGAGGAGCACGAAGGUUGGCUAAUCCUGGUCGGACAUCAGGAGGUUAGUGCAAUGGCAUAAGCCAGCUUGACUGCGAGCGUGACGGCGCGAGCAGGUGCGAAAGCAGGUCAUAGUGAUCCGGUGGUUCUGAAUGGAAGGGCCAUCGCUCAACGGAUAAAAGGUACUCCGGGGAUAACAGGCUGAUACCGCCCAAGAGUUCAUAUCGACGGCGGUGUUUGGCACCUCGAUGUCGGCUCAUCACAUCCUGGGGCUGAAGUAGGUCCCAAGGGUAUGGCUGUUCGCCAUUUAAAGUGGUACGCGAGCUGGGUUUAGAACGUCGUGAGACAGUUCGGUCCCUAUCUGCCGUGGGCGCUGGAGAACUGAGGGGGGCUGCUCCUAGUACGAGAGGACCGGAGUGGACGCAUCACUGGUGUUCGGGUUGUCAUGCCAAUGGCACUGCCCGGUAGCUAAAUGCGGAAGAGAUAAGUGCUGAAAGCAUCUAAGCACGAAACUUGCCCCGAGAUGAGUUCUCCCUGACUCCUUGAGAGUCCUGAAGGAACGUUGAAGACGACGACGUUGAUAGGCCGGGUGUGUAAGCGCAGCGAUGCGUUGAGCUAACCGGUACUAAUGAACCGUGAGGCUUAACCUUACAACGCCGAAG
rnacentral:rRNA from 1 species